GCUGGCGUGUCUGACGGGUGACAGCAUGGUCUACUUUUGUUUAUGGGGACAGUGGGAGCUGUAUCUCCAUCUCCCAACCUCCAGUGGCAGACAGAUGGAUCGAACUAUAUAAUCAUCAAUGGAAGCAUGUGAUAUUCUGUCUUCACAAACCAUCAUGCGGAGCAGAACCAACGGCCCCUUUGUCUGCAUUUAGAAUAACUGCAAGAUUAUUGUCAUCUGUCAAGUUACAAAGCCCAUCCUCAAAACUGAAAACCAAUCCUCCAUUUCUCAAGGACUUACCUCUUCUUCAUCUGAAGAUCAGUAGUUACAUGAUUUGGAUCCACCGAGGAAGGGAGAAUGAUAUCAGUUCAAAAGUAUUGGAUACCUGUGGAGCGCUUUGCAAAAUAUUGCAGGAUUUUCUGGGCUUUCUAUAGAACUACACAGAAGUAUUGCUGAGUACUUUGCAAUAUGAAUUCCUGCAAUUUGCAGGAUUUUGCCAUGCUUUUCAGGUGAUCAUACUAGCGGGAGAACAUGGAGCAAAACAUAUAUGUUACAAGUGAAGAUAAACCCAAGGUCCAGGAAGGUACUGAAAGACACACUAAUGAGCCCACCGUCCUCACAAGAUGUCAACUAAACUGCAAACUCCAAGAGACAAUGAAUUAUAAUUUUAGUUUGCUAUGACAUUGCUAACAUACUGUGUAGGCCUGACAUAUAGUAUGUAGGCAAUAAUUGUUUGCUGAAUGAAGUAGCAGACACACCAGAAAGGUUUGAAUUGGCCCAAUUUCUUUAGGAACCAUUGAGCCCUGUAACUCACCAGUUUGGUUAAUUUUUCAAACACUUUGCUUACAUUUGCAUUAGUAAUGUGUAAAGAGAUGGAGAGAGGACUUUUUCUU